UGGCUCAAUUGGUAAAGAAUCUGCCUGCAAUGCAGGAGACCCAGGUUCAAUCCCUGG
rfam:TPA: Bos taurus chromosome 9, whole genome shotgun sequence.